ACAAAGAAGUGCAAGCAAGCCUGUAGUUCCUCGAAGCAAAAACGAUGUCUGGUCUCACUGCUAGUAAGAUGAUUAUGGCUCUGGCCUUAUGCUUGUUGCUGAUGAGUGUUUUAUCUGUUGAGGCGGCUGGAAGGAUUAAUGCUGAUUGUCACAAAGCAGGUAAGUGUAUAGAUGACGGAGACUGUACUAGGCCUUGCAGCUACCAAGGUUUUUCCCAUGGAUCAUGUAAAAUUUUAGAUCUUCCUUCUUCAAAAUUACAUCCGAAGAUCAUAGGUGUAGAUUAUGAUAUGCCGGGAACUUGUUGUUGUCACUAGAAAAGCUUAAUUGGUCCAUCUAUAAGCUUUUUAUUUAUUUUUCCCAUUGAAGCAUACUGCUAAUAAGAGGAUAUGUUGUCUUUCAUUUUUUGUUCGUAAGAAAACCAUGACAACAAAAUAAAUGAUUAUUUGAGCAA